rnacentral:misc_RNA from 1 species
AAAAAACCUAAUUGCAGUAUCCACCUUUGACGAUAAAAAGAAUCCCCAAAUCAAAAGAUUAUACGUAUGUCCAGUAGGUUCAAUGCCCUGAUUAACCAUCCUAUUAAAGUACCUCUUGGCCAUCAUAUAUCGUCCUCGACGAGUUAUCACAUUAAACAAAGCAUUAUACGAUUUAACAGUCCUUUCAACACCUAACUCUUCCAUUUUCUGAAACAACUUAACACUCUCUUGAACAAUCCCAGCUUUACCAUAACUAUCAAUCAUCAAAACCCACAAAUCCUCAUCCCAAUCAACACCCUUAUUCGGCAUGUCAAGAAGUAUACACCUAGCAUGAUUAAGCUUUUCAGCUCUACCAAGAAUUUGAAUAAUUUUAAAAUGGGUUUCUCUAUCAUGCCUAAAAAGACCAGAUCUUUCAACCCACCUAAAGAA